rnacentral:rRNA from 1 species
AACGAACGCUGGCGGCAUGCCUAACACAUGCAAGUCGAACGAAGGCUUCGGCCUUAGUGGCGCACGGGUGCGUAACGCGUGGGAAUCUGCCCUUUGGUUCGGAAUAACAGCUGGAAACGGCUGCUAAUACCGGAUGAUGACGAAAGUCCAAAGAUUUAUCGCCAGAGGAUGAGCCCGCGUUGGAUUAGGUAGUUGGUGGGGUAAAGGCCUACCAAGCCGACGAUCCAUAGCUGGUCUGAGAGGAUGAUCAGCCACACUGGGACUGAGACACGGCCCAGACCCCUAGGGGAGGCAGCGGGGGGGAAAUUUGGAAAGUGGGGGCAAGCCUGUACCGGCAAGCCCGGGUGAGUGAUGAAGGCCCUGGGGUUGUAAAGCUCUUUUCCCCGGGAAGAAAAUGACUGUACCGGGAGAAUAAGCCCCGGCUAACUCCGU